AUUGAACGCUGGCGGCAGGCCUAACACAUGCAAGUCGAGCGCGCGGCGGACGGGUGAGUAUUGUAUGGGGACUGCCCGCUAGAGGGGGAUAACUAUCGGAAACGGUAGCUAAUACCGCAUAUUCUCGGAUCACCCAUAUGGGUUUAGCUAGUAGGUGGGGUAAUGUCUCACCUAGGCGACGAUCCCUAGCUGGUCUGAGAGGAUGAUCAGCCACACUGGGACUGAGACACGGCCCAGACUCCUACGGAGGCAGCAGUGGGGAAUAUUGCACAAUGGGCGCAAGCCUGAUGCAGCCAUGCCGCGUGUAUGAAGAAGGCCCUAGGGUUGUAAAGUACUUUCAGUCGGGAGGCGUUACCGACAGAAGAAGCACCGGCUAACUCCGUGCCAGCAGCCGCGGUAAUUC
rnacentral:rRNA from 1 species